CAAAUACUCCCUCCGUCCGGAAAUACUUGUCAUCAAAAUGGAUAAAAGGAAAUGUAUCUAGACGUAUUUUAGUUUUAGAUACAUCCCUUUCUAUCCAUUUUGAUGACAAGUAUUUUCGGACGGAGGGAGUAGAAA
rnacentral:pre_miRNA from 1 species